UGGGGUUGUGGCUCAGUGCUAGAGUACUUGCCUUGCAUGUAUGAGGCACUGGGUUCAAUUCUCAGCACCACAA
rnacentral:tRNA from 1 species